AGGGUUUGGAGUAGGGACAGGUAGCGGAGCAUCUUUGCUUGGAGCGGGAAAUGCCGGUGGUGAGUGUUCUGCCGGCUCCUUGAAUGGCGCCGUCAACAGCGGCUUGGGCACUACCAUUGGCAGUAGAGUGGGUGGUGCCAUAGGCACUGGCCUCGGCAAUGGCUUUGCCGGUGGCGUGGGCAGCACUUUGGGAGGUACAGUGGGCAGCACAUUGGGCGGUCUCAUAGGUAGCAGUGCUACAGGUGCGGCAACUAAUCGUGCGGGGCUUGCCGCCGGGACCGGUAACGGAGUACCGUCGAUUACAUUGAGUACUGCUGGGA